rnacentral:lncRNA from 1 species
GUAUUGUGGAUAUUGUUAUACAUAAACACAUAUAUAGAUACACUAUUUUUUGUAAUUGAACUCUUCAUCCAGAAUCAUUUAUUACUCAUUUGCUCCGUUUUUAUUAUGCUAGGUGCUUGGAAUCCAUAGAUGCCACGUGGUUUCUGCUCUGCUCUCAAAGGAUUCUUAAUUUGCUGAAGGGGGGAGAAGGAAGCAAAUGGUUACAACCCAGAUGCUGUGAACAUGAUGGAACUUCAUGCGACCGCAUGGGUGUUGUCUGUCAGCCAUGUGCUGCAGGGCUCCAGUGCUGCUGCCCUGUGGACUGGCCUCCCGGAAGCUCCCACAAAUGAGUUCUGCAAAUGGACUUCCAAAAUCAAUAGGCUGCAGAAAUCUAUCUGGCCUGCAAAACCUUCCUUGGUCCCCUUCACAUCCACCAAUGCCCCUGGCUCUCACUCCGCUGUUCGUACUCCCCUCUACCCCACACUGCUGGGCAGGCACAACACGGGCCUGUGAAAUGAUACCAGAGGUGAGCAGUAAGAAAAGGGGGGUGGAAAAUAAAGCUCUUUGGGACUUGAGCUGGCCUUCUGUGCUCAUGCCAGCCCAAGCUGUUGAGAGCUUCUCCUCUUCGGAUGUGGUCCCAGAGCACUGACCAUCUUCCACUUACUGUCCGAGUCUUGCUUUACAAUAUUAAAGGCUACCACUUAAGCAAAUGUUGAUUUCCAGGCCUGGUUCUCUAAACUUUAGAAUCAUUUAUCCCCCUUCCCUUUAUUUUGUUUGCAUACCAGCCCUGAAGGGAUUGUCCCUGCCUUACAAAGGAGGACCCUGAGAUUCAGAGAGGUAAUAGACUUACUUGCUCAAGUCAAAAGUUGAGCAUGGCUCAGCUGGGAAUCUAACCCAUUGCUGGUUUUACUAAAGUAAAAUUCAAUUCUUAGGGCUGCAUUUUACCACAAAGAUAGCAGUAGGUUGUUGGGAGUGAGCUGUACAUUUCUAAUGUGGCAGGCAAUUGGAAAUAUCCAUGCUAAGAAUGACAAGCAUGUUGCAAUGUUUACGGAAAAUGAGACACUGUGAUUAAAGACUGCUCCGUGGAACUAAUCGCCAGGAUUUUUGUAUUGUGGUUCAAAAGAGGAAAUGAAACCAACAGCCCUGGAGACAUGGAAGACCGUCUAUUCCACUCUAACCAGGGGUGGUUGUCAAAGGAAACUGCCAUUUUGUCUUGCUAACUUGACCUGAAAGUUAAUUAAGAAUUUACAACCACGCUACCAAUUGAUUUUGCACUAUCUGCCACAAUAGUGAGCUUUCUGAUUAAAAUGGC